UACGUAGGGUGCGAGCGUUAAUCGGAUUUACUGGGCGUAAAGCGUGCGCAGGCGGCUCGUUAAGACAGGUGUGAAAUCCCUGGGCUCAACCUAGGAAUUGCGCUUGUGACUGGCGGGCUCGAGUACGGUAGAGGGGGGUGGAAUUCCUGGUGUAGCAGUGAAAUGCGUAGAGAUCAGGAGGAACACCGAUGGCGAAGGCAGCCCCCUGGGCCUGUACUGACGCUCAUGCACGAAAGCGUGGGGAGCAAACAGG
rnacentral:rRNA from 1 species